UUCAGACCUGUGGAUCAAGAAGAAACAUGAGAUGACCACAGAAAAUACGGUUGCUGAUCCCUGCCUUCAAGGAAUGCUGGCCAGUUUUCUGGAGACUCCCAGCCUCUCAGCUGAGACCACAGGUAGUUGGUCAGACUCUAUACUGCAGGAGGUACCCUGUGCACAUGA
ensembl:lncRNA novel transcript